CCAAAUGGGGGAGGGCAGCAACGGAACGAGAACUUCUUGUGUUUCUUCACCUCAUUGGCAUCUUGAUCUUUUGUUGUAACGAAGAAGGAAGAGCACCCAAAGGCAUGGUUACAUGGCCUAUGCACAUCUCCAACCAACAGAGAAGACAAACAUUCUUCUUUAACCUUGGAAAUCAUUGAAGAAUCCUAGAACAUGCCGCCAGCCCCCAACCCCAAUCUCUAUUGUCGCAACCCGCCACCACACACACAAAGCCAUAGUUAUCGAUCUUCUAACCAAAAGAACCCUAUUUCCCAGCUGAAAACACCCGAGAAAAUGACCACAACUCCGGCGAGCUCGUUGGAAAACACAAUGACUACAGACAGUCGCACCUCCAUCAGCCCCAAUCCACAGCCGUUGCCGCCAGUUUCAAUAUCUCCAAGCCCAUGACCCAACAGCCACCCCCGACUCAUAAAAAAACAAGAACAGUUUCUUCUUCUUCAACCUUAAACCUCUAACCUAGACCCACAAAACUUCAGCGAUAAUCCUCAUCCAUUAUACCCACGCCAUUAACUCACAACUUUCAAUACUCAGCUGAAAAUCACCUGUCAAAAAAUUUAAAAAAAAAAACUCAAGGCAAAAUGAGCCCUGAAAACAAAAAUAAUGAUCAUAGGAACAUGCCAAACGAGAAGAAGUUCCUUCGUGUUUGAUUCUGGUUUCAAGAUUCGAAAAAAAUAAAAAAAACAUGUGGAGAACUAGUGUUUAGGAGGUUUCAAAUUUUAAAUCAAAGGUGUUAUGUUACUUCUAUUUCAAUUUAGAGUUUUUCUUUCACGAUGGAGAUCAACCAGAGCGUGGGUGCGUUCGAGGUUCGGGUUGAGUUCCUGUUUGCGGAUUUCAUUUUCCGGUUGAAGACUUUGUUCCUUCUAGUAGAACAACCAUAUUUUCUAAGAUAACACAUGUCAAUUUUUCUC
rnacentral:lncRNA from 1 species